rnacentral:rRNA from 1 species
CCUACGGGAGGCAGCAGUGAGGAAUAUUGGUCAAUGGGCGCGAGCCUGAACCAGCCAAGUCGCGUGAGGGAAGACGGUCCUAUGGAUUGUAAACCUCUUUUGUCGGGGAGCAAAAGACGCCACGCGUGGCGUUCCGAGAGUACCCGAAGAAAAAGCAUCGGCUAACUCCGUGCCAGCAGCCGCGGUAAUACGGAGGAUGCGAGCGUUAUCCGGAUUUAUUGGGUUUAAAGGGUGCGCAGGCGGAAGAUCAAGUCAGCGGUAAAAUUGAGAGGCUCAACCUCUUCGAGCCGUUGAAACUGGUUGUCUUGAGUAAGCGAGAGGUAUGCGGAAUUCGUGGUGUAGCGGUGAAAUGCAUAGAUAUCACGCAGAACUCCGAUUGCGAAGGCAGCAUACCGGCGCUCAACUGACGCUCAUGCACGAAAGUGUGGGUAUCGAACAGGAUUAGAUACCCUUGUAGUC